ACUCAAAGGAAUAGACGGGGGCUCACACAAGCGGUGGAGUAUGUGGAUUAAUUCGAAGCAACGCGCAGAACCUCACCUAGGUUUGACAUGCUAGGAUGCCCUUUGGGAAACCAGAGUAAGCUGCCUUCGGGUGAAACUAGCACAGGUGCUGCAUGGCUGUCGUCAGCUCGUGCUGUGAAGUGUCGGGUUAAGUCCCUUAACGAGCGAAACCCCUAUCGUUAGUUGCCAACGGGUCAAGCCGGGAACUCUAGCGAGACCGCCGGCGUCAAGCCGGAGGAAGGCGGGGAUGACGUCAAGUCAUCAUGGCCUUUAUGCCUAGGGCGUCACACGUACUACAAUGGGCGAUACAGAGCGAAGCGAGACCGUGAGGUGGAGCAAAUCGCAUAAAGUCGUCCUCAGUUCAGAUCGGAGUCUGCAACCCGACUCCGUGAAGUUGGAAUCGCUAGUAAUCGCGGAUCAGCCACGCCGCGGUGAAUGUGUUCCUGAGCCUUGUACACACCGCCCGU
rnacentral:rRNA from 1 species